UACGUAGGUGGCAAGCGUUGUCCGGAAUUAUUGGGCGUAAAGCGCGCGCAGGCGGUCCUUUAAGUCUGAUGUGAAAGCCCACGGCUCAACCGUGGAGGGUCAUUGGAAACUGGGGGACUUGAGUGCAGAAGAGGAAAGUGGAAUUCCGACGUGUAGCGGUGAAAUGCGUAGAGAUGUGGAGGAACACCAGUGGCGAAGGCGACUUUCUGGUCUGUAACUGACGCUGAGGCGCGAAAGCGUGGGGAGCAAACAGG
rnacentral:rRNA from 1 species